AAUUCCAUAAAACCCCAUCAGGAAGCGUCCAAGGAAGCCCAGAGCAAGCACGAGAUGCAACGCAAAGCCAAGGAAAUCAGGUUGGAGCUGUGCUCCAAUGACACUUUUCACAUCAUAAGAGCGCCUAAGCUCAUAUAAAAUCACAGAAUCGUUAAAUUGGAAAAGAUCUUCAAGAUCAUCAGUCCAACCUUUGGUCAAAUACCAUCAUGAUCCUUAAAUCAAAUCACAACGUGCUGUGUCCACUCGUUUUUUGAGCACUUCAAGAGACAAUAGGAGAAUCAUUUAGGUUUCAAAAGACCUUUAAGAUCAUCAAGUUCAACUGUUAGCACUGCUAAGUCCACAAGAGCAGCCAAUACAUAAACUGCAAAAGCCCAUUCUGAAGAGGUUUCUAUGGAGGGGCUGGACCACUGGAGGUGAUGGAUCAGCUGUCAUCCCCUGCUCUGCAGAACGUCUUUGUGCUAAACUAAUGGUCCAGCAGAACUGCCAGCCUGACAGCCCUGGUAUUUAUUUGCAUCCUGGUAAGAGAACUGACAACUUCAUUGUUUUCAGUGUUCAUUUUUCACAGCUGGGUGCCUCUGCUCAGCCAGACUCUCAUUCUUUGGUCAGAGAGGGGUGAUAUUUUCAGUGAGUUUGGUUAAGCAGCUGGCUCCCAGGUGAAAACUUAACGCAGUCAUCUCGCAAGCAAACGCUCUGCUUUCAGUGCUGCUGCCCAUGAAAAAUGGCAGUGAUAAAAUUCCUGCAGUCUCCAUUGCACUGGAGAUUUGGAUAGCUUUGAAUGGUGGAAAACAAACAGUUCUGCUACCUUGUUUUCUUCAGAUAGCAUCCAAAAUAAUACAAAGAGGGGUGAUGGAACUGGAUCUCCUCCUUGCACUGUUUUUGUUCUGCAUUGCAGGGGGUCCUGUCAGAGCCCCUCAUCCCUGUAGCACUUCUGGAAUGCACUGGAGAGGCAAAUAAAGCCUGGAUCCCAGACCCAGGAGAGUGUCCUGCCCUUGCUGAAUGGGAUAUUUUCCAUGUUUCACAGCUAAACAGUGCAUUUUCACUGAACUUCUCUGCCUUUCAGGGUGUUGUGAACAUCAUGAUGUGAACAUGAUGCAGUGCUGUGGGAGAGCAAGACCCUGGGGACAGAAGGGAGGUGUGAAACCACCUUGAUCUUGGAGGUUGACAGCCCCUGACCCAUUCUCAGCCCUUUUCUCCCCAUCUGAGAGCUUCCAACUUCUCAGCCUGGUUCUCAGACACCAUUUUCUCCCAGGACUUCUUUUCCACACUGCUCGUUCUUGUCAUCGCUUGGACCUCGUCCACAUUGAAACCACAAGAAAGAGCAGGAGCUCAGUCCCAUCACAGCUAAAAGUUUGUUCUGCAAAUGAAGCUUGGUUGCCAAGUGAAAAGUUCAGCACAUCUACAGAGUUCUGGCUCCGUUUUUGAGAGCAGAACUAAAUAUUUCCACAAUAGAGACCAGCACUAUAGCACAAUCAAGCCAAAGGAAAAACCAGCUCAUCACCAGAUCCCCUGACUGGUUAGCAGUGGUUUGUGUGAGGUUUUUGGAGUAUGUGUGCAAAGCUCUUGUUACACUUACCAAAAAGACAAUAGAGUGUUUCUGUGAAAAUUCUGGUAAGAAAGCAGAAAUUUCUGGAGAAGAAAAUUUUAACUAUUCCACUGGAUAGACACAAAUGUUUUUUGCUUCCUGGUGGGACAAUCCUGAUUUUCAAAGUACUUUUCUGAAGAUUAAGGAAAAAAAGUGAUAUACUGAAGCUAUUUCAUGGUGUUCCACAAGUGAAUGUACAAAUAUACCUGGGCCUUUUCCUUCUUCACAAUGAGACAAAAGGGAUAACUUAAUCCAAAGAUUUAAAUUAAUAGAUUUCUUCCUGGUUAAAAACUUUCCUCUUGGUGUCUUUCCUCUGCAAGAGGACGAUUUAUCUGUUUGCAGUCUUUAAAAUCCCUUUUUGCACACAGAAUAAGGAACACAUGAAACUGGAGACUUUUCUGCCAGACUAGAAGUCAACAGCCAUCAAAAGUGCCCAGGAGCACAGGAAACUGAUGGGCUCUAAUAUUCUACAGGGUGUCCAGUAGCUUUGUUUUCAAGUGACUUCUGUGGAUUAUUCUCCACAAAAUGAAGCUUUAGCUUUAAAAUAACAGGGAAUUUGCAAAUUCAAGUGCUCACACACCAUGAAAUGUCAAACCCCUGUUAUCAGUGCCUCUGGCUGAGCAAAUUUUUCUGAAGUAAUUUAUUUUUCAAACCAGUGUGGUCUCUUUUUUACCACAAGGAGCCACUUCAGUGAAGAUUCUGCUGAGCUCCAACAGCUCCAGAAAGAGGCAUGCUUAGUACUGAUAGAAUUAAGGAAAAAUUCAGACAUUGAAUUGUGUACAUCUGCUACAGACCAUAUGCAACAUGAGAUUUUUGGAGGGUUUGGUUGGGUUUUUUUUAAGUUUGCAAACUUUGGAUGAAUUUGCAGUGAAUCAGAAUGGUUUGGUUUGGAAGGGGCCCUAAAGAUCAUCAAUGUCCAACCCCCCUGUCAUGAACAGGAAUGCCACUACUAGAUGAGGUUGCUCCUUCCCUCCAACCUGGCCUUGAACACUUCCAGGAAUGGAAUAUCCAGAAAGGCAGGUUACAUCUCUAUCACAAAGAAAUGCCAAAUAUCAGGUCCUCACUUCUGUAUCACAGCACUCAGUGAAACAGUUCAUUAAAAC